rnacentral:rRNA from 1 species
AGCGAACGCUGGCGGCAGGCCUAACACAUGCAAGUCGAACGAUCCUUCGGGAUAGUGGCGGACGGGUGCGUAACGCGUGGGAAUAUGCCCUUGACUGCGGAACAACGUCGGGAAACUGACGCUAAUACCGCAUAAUGUCUUCGGGCCAAAGAUUUAUCGGUCAAGGAUUAGCCCGCGUCUGAUUAGCUAGUUGGUGAGGUAACGGCUCACCAAGGCGACGAUCAGUAGGGGGUCUGAGAGGAUGAUCCCCCACACUGGGACUGAGACACGGCCCAGACUCCUACGGGAGGCAGCAGUGAGGAAUAUUGGACAAUGGGCGCAAGCCUGAUCCAGCCAUGCCGCGUGAGUGACGAAGGCCUUCGGGUUGUAAAGCUCUUUCAGAUGCGAAGAUAAUGACGGUAACAUCAGAAGAAGCCCCGGCUAAAUUCGUGCCAGCCGCCGCAGUAA